rnacentral:rRNA from 1 species
GAUGAACGCUAGCGGCAGGCCUAACACAUGCAAGUCGAACGGUAACAUGAUCAGCUUGCUGAUUGAUGACGAGUGGCGCACGGGUGCGUAACGCGUAUGCAACCUGCCUCUAACUGGGAGAUAGCCCGGAGAAAUUCGGAUUAAUACCCCAUAAUAUGUGUCUUUCGCAUGUUAGACACAUUAAAGCUUUUGCGGUUAGAGAUGGGCAUGCGUGACAUUAGCUAGUUGGUAAGGUAACGGCUUACCAAGGCAACGAUGUCUAGGGGGUCUGAGAGGAUUAUCCCCCANACUGGUACUGAGACACGGACCAGACUCCUACGGGAGGCAGCAGUGAGGAAUAUUGGUCCAAUGGACGCAAGUCUGAACCAGCCAUGCCGCGUGCA